rnacentral:lncRNA from 1 species
AGGGACUCUGGGCUUAGGCGCGUGCACUGGCCGCCCCCGUCUUUGUGAUUUUUUCCUCUGUUUGCCGAAAAGGAGAUUCCCGGUCGGAAUAUUAUCGCUUUUCUACGAGAAAAAUGGCAUAAAAAUAGAUUUUAAACAGCGGUUGACAUGCUUCGAAGUACGGUAAUGGAAUAUUUAGAAUUUUUUUGUCACGAAUUGCGCCAUGCGCACGACCCUUCUUUACCAUUUCGGAUAGUGUCUGGAACGCACGAACAAAACGCCGCUAUUCGGAUAUAACGAUGGAUUAUUUUGGACCAAACCAACAUUUGUUAUUGAAGUAGCAGUCCUGGGAGUGCAUUCUGACGAAGACAACAAAAGGCAUUCAAAGGGAACAGAGCUAUCAUCAAAGCUUCAUACCAGGGAGUCUUUGGCCAGCAAAGCAUUACAACCUAACCUAGGGGCUGUUAUCGACUCAGUCGUAAAGAUGGUGAAUCAAGAAGAGACCUCUUCAAACAAGGCUGUUCAGAGAGCAUUGCAAGGAGAUGGCAGCAGAUCAUGAGCACCUGCUCUUUCAUUGUGAGGUUAGGUGGUUGUCCAGGGGGAGGGUCCUGGAGAGGCUGUGGGAACUGAGAG